rnacentral:rRNA from 1 species
UACGGAGGGUGCGAGCGUUGUCCGGAAUCAUUGGGCGUAAAGGGCGCGUAGGUGGCCCGGUCAGUCUUUGGUGAAAGCGCGGGGCUCAACCCUGCGUCGGCCAGGGAUACUGCCGCGGCUCGAGCACUGUAGAGGCAGGCGGAAUUCCGGGUGUAGCGGUGGAAUGCGUAGAGAUCCGGAGGAAGACCGGUGGCGAAGGCGGCCUGCUGGGCAGUUCUGACGCUGAGGCACGAAGGUCAGGGGAGGCGAAACGGG